CGACGUGAGGGAACCUGCCUUCCAGAGGGGGACAACAGUUGGAAACGACUGCUAAUACCGCAUGAUGCGUUGGAGCCGCAUGACUCCGACGUCAAAGAUUUAUCGCUGGAAGAUGGCCUCGCGUCUGAUUAGCUAGUUGGUGAGGUAACGGCCCACCAAGGCGACGAUCAGUGGCCGGACUGAGAGGUUGGCCGGCCACAUUGGGACUGAGAUACGGCCCAGACUCCUACGGGAGGCAGCAG
rnacentral:rRNA from 1 species